rnacentral:tRNA from 1 species
GCCGGUGUAGCUUAGUGGCAAAGCAGGUGCUUCGUAAGCGCAAGAGCGACGGUCCGAUUCCGUCCACCGGCU